UACGUAGGGUGCAAGCGUUAAUCGGAAUUACUGGGCGUAAAGCGUGCGCAGGCGGUUUUGUAAGUCAGAUGUGAAAUCCCCGGGCUUAACCUGGGAACUGCGUUUGAAACUACAAGGCUAGGGUGUGACAGAGGGGGGUGGAAUUCCACGUGUAGCAGUGAAAUGCGUAGAGAUGUGGAGGAACACCGAUGGCGAAGGCAGCCCCCUGGGUUAACACUGACGCUCAGGCACGAAAGCGUGGGGAGCAAACAGG
rnacentral:rRNA from 1 species